rnacentral:tRNA from 2 species
UCCCCGAUAGCUCAGUUGGUAGAGCGCGCGGCUGUUAACCGCUAGGUCGUAGGUUCGAGUCCUACUCGGGGAGCCA